rnacentral:rRNA from 1 species
CUUUUAGUAAUAUAAAAGACUAAUACCGUAUAUUCUCUGUGGAGGAAAGAAUUUAUCGCUGAUGGAUGAGCCCGCGUCAGAUUAGGUAGUUGGUGAGGUAAUGGCUCACCAAGCCGACGAUCUGUAGCUGGUCUGAGAGGAUGAUCAGCCACACUGGGACUGAGACACGGCCCAGACUCUUACGGGAGGCAGCAGUGGGGAAUAUUGGACAAUGGGCGAAAGCCUGAUCCAGCAAUACCGAGUGAGUGAUGAAGGCCUUAGGGUUGUAAAGCUCUUUUAGCAAGGAAGAUAAUGACGUUACUUGCAGAAAAAGCCCCGGCUAACUCCGUGC